rnacentral:rRNA from 1 species
UACGUAGGGGGCAAGCGUUGUUCGGAAUUACUGGGCGUAAAGGGCGCGUAGGCGGCACGGCAAGUCGGGAGUGAAAGCCCGGGGCUUAACCCCGGGUCUGCAUUCGAUACGGGCUAGCUAGAGUGUGGUAGGGGAGAUCGGAAUUCCUGGUGUAGCGGUGAAAUGCGCAGAUAUCAGGAGGAACACCGGUGGCGAAGGCGGAUCUCUGGGCCAUUACUGACGCUGAGGAGCGAAAGCGUGGGGAGCGAACAGG